rnacentral:rRNA from 1 species
CUUGGUCAUUUAGAGGAAGUAAAAGUCGUAACAAGGUCUCCGUUGGUGAACCAGCGGAGGGAUCAUUACUGAGUUUACGCUCUAUAACCCUUUGUGAACAUACCUAUAACUGUUGCUUCGGCGGGUAGGGUCUCCGCGACCCUCCCGGCCUCCCGCCUCCGGGCGGGUCGGCGCCCGCCGGAGGAUAACCAAACUCUGAUUUAACGACGUUUCUUCUGAGUGGUACAAGCAAAUAAUCAAAACUUUUAACAACGGAUCUCUUGGUUCUGGCAUCGAUGAAGAACGCAGCGAAAUGCGAUAAGUAGUGUGAAUUGCAGAAUUCAGUGAAUCAUCGAAUCUUUGAACGCACAUUGCGCCCGCCAGCAUUCUGGCGGGCAUGCCUGUUCGAGCGUCAUUUCAACCCUCAAGCUCUGCUUGGUGUUGGGGCCCUACAGCUGAUGUAGGCCCUCAAAGGUAGUGGCGGACCCUCCCGGAGCCUCCUUUGCGUAGUAACUUUACGUCUCGCACUGGGAUCCGGAGGGACUCUUGCCGUAAAACCCCCCAAUUUUCCAAAGGUUGACCUCGGAUCAGGUAGGAAUACCCGCUGAACUUAAGCAUAUCAAUAAGCGGAGGA